UACGUAGGGGGCAAGCGUUGUCCGGAAUCAUUGGGCGUAAAGAGCGUGUAGGCGGCUUGGUAAGUCCGUUGUGAAAGUUUAGGGCUCAACCCUGGAAUGCCGGUGGAAACUGUCAAGCUUGAGUCCGGAAGAGGCGAGUGGAAUUCCUGGUGUAGCGGUGAAAUGCGUAGAUAUCAGGAGGAAUAUUAAUGGCGAAGGCAGCUCGCUGGGACGGUACUGACGCUGAGACGCGAAAGCGUGGGGAGCAAACAGG
rnacentral:rRNA from 1 species